rfam:Stegodyphus mimosarum contig72505, whole genome shotgun sequence.
GCCUUCGUGGUGUAGUGGUCAGCACGCUCGACGCGUAACCGAGAGGUCCGUGGUUCGAUUCCUAGCGGCGGUG